AUUGAACGCUGGCGGCAGGCCUAACACAUGCAAGUCGAGCGGAUGAAGGGAGCUUGCUCCUGGAUUCAGCGGCAGACGGGUGAGUAAUGCCUAGGAAUCUGCCUGGUAGUGGGGGAUAACGUCUGGAAACGGGCGCUAAUACCGCAUACGUCCUGCGGGAGAAAGUGGGGGAUCUUCGGACCUCACGCUAUCAGAUGAGCCUAGGUCGGAUUAGCUAGUUGGUUGGGUAAAGGCCUGCCAAGGCGACGAUCCGUAACUGGUCUGAGAGGAUGAUUAGUCACCCGGGAACGGAGACACGGUCCAUGCUCCUAAGGGAGGCAGCAGUGGGGAAUAUUGGACAAUGGGCGAAAGCCUGAUCCAGCCGUGCCGCGUGUGUGAAGAAGGUCUUCGGAUUGUAAAGCACUUUAAGUUGGGAGGAAGGGCAGUAAGUUAAUACCUUGCUGUUUUGACGUUACCAACAGAAUAAGCACCGGCUAACUUCGUG
rnacentral:rRNA from 1 species